rnacentral:rRNA from 1 species
CCCAUUGCCGGCCGCCUAACAAAUGCAAGUCGAGCGGUAGCACAGAGAGCUUGCUCUCGGGUGACGAGCGGCGGACGGGUGAGUAAUGUCUGGGAAACUGCCUGAUGGAGGGGGAUAACUACUGGAAACGGUAGCUAAUACCGCAUAAUGUCGCAAGACCAAAGAGGGGGACCUUCGGGCCUCUUGCCAUCAGAUGUGCCCAGAUGGGAUUAGCUAGUAGGUGGGGUAACGGCUCACCUAGGCGACGAUCCCUAGCUGGUCUGAGAGGAUGACCAGCCACACUGGAACUGAGACACGGUCCAGACUCCUACGGGAGGCAGCAGUGGGGAAUAUUGCACAAUGGGCGCAAGCCUGAUGCAGCCAUGCCGCGUGUAUGAAGAAGGCCUUCGGGUUGUAAAGUACUUUCAGCGGGGAGGAAGGUGUUGAGGUUAAUAACCUCAGCAAUUGACGUUACCCGCAGAAGAAGCACCGGCUAACUCCGUGCCAGCAGCCGCGGUAAUACGGAGGGUGCAAGCGUUAAUCGGAAUUACUGGGCGUAAAGCGCACGCAGGCGGUCUGUCAAGUCGGAUGUGAAAUCCCCGGGCUCAACCUGGGAACUGCAUUCGAAACUGGCAGGCUAGAGUCUUGUAGAGGGGGGUAGAAUUCCAGGUGUAGCGGUGAAAUGCGUAGAGAUCUGGAGGAAUACCGGUGGCGAAGGCGGCCCCCUGGACAAAGACUGACGCUCAGGUGCGAAAGCGUGGGGAGCAAACAGGAUUAGAUACCCUGGUAGUCCACGCCGUAAACGAUGUCGACUUGGAGGUUGUGCCCUUGAGGCGUGGCUUCCGGAGCUAACGCGUUAAGUCGACCGCCUGGGGAGUACGGCCGCAAGGUUAAAACUCAAAUGAAUUGACGGGGGCCCGCACAAGCGGUGGAGCAUGUGGUUUAAUUCGAUGCAACGCGAAGAACCUUACCUACUCUUGACAUCCAGAGAACUUUCCAGAGAUGGAUUGGUGCCUUCGGGAACUCUGAGACAGGUGCUGCAUGGCUGUCGUCAGCUCGUGUUGUGAAAUGUUGGGUUAAGUCCCGCAACGAGCGCAACCCUUAUCCUUUGUUGCCAGCGGUCCGGCCGGGAACUCAAAGGAGACUGCCAGUGAUAAACUGGAGGAAGGUGGGGAUGACGUCAAGUCAUCAUGGCCCUUACGAGUAGGGCUACACACGUGCUACAAUGGCGCAUACAAAGAGAAGCGACCUCGCGAGAGCAAGCGGACCUCAUAAAGUGCGUCGUAGUCCGGAUUGGAGUCUGCAACUCGACUCCAUGAAGUCGGAAUCGCUAGUAAUCGUAGAUCAGAAUGCUACGGUGAAUACGUUCCCGGGCCUUGUACACACCGCCCGUCACACCAUGGGAGUGGGUUGCAAAAGAAGUAGGUAGCUUAACCUUCGGGAGGGCGCUACCACUUGAUCGUGA